rnacentral:lncRNA from 1 species
AUAUGGAAGAGUUUAAGCAGGGAUACUGCGUUUGAACACCUUGAUUCAAGCAUCUACAGAUGCGACUGUGGGGCGGUCGAUGAUAAAAUGCACGUUGAGAUAGGUGAACCAAUGGUUCACCGUCCACACUUGCAGCGCGCCAGGGAUCUUCAAUGCCAUAAAUACCAGGGGCUUUCACAGCUAUGAAGCACAACCCAAUAAGCAGGACAUGCCUCGUGAAACGAUGUCGACGUAUGAUAUUGAGCCAAAAGAUAUUAACAUGUGCACAUAACAAUAGACUCAAUCAUACAUAGCCCGAGAAUUAAGAACAAGCCCUUGGGCGGAGUAGCUAACACGUCACUGGGCGGAGUAGCUAAUGGAUCCAAUGGAUCACCAUCCACACUGGCAGCGAAGCAGAGACCUUCAAUGCCAAAAAUACCAGGGGCCUUCGCAGCUAUGAAGUACAACCCAAUAAGCAGGACAUGCCUCGUGAAACGAUGUCGACAUAUGAUUUUGAGCCAGUAAUGUUAGCUUGUGCGCAUAGUAGAAGGAUUAUUCAUACAGUUUCCGGCAUUUAAUCUACUUGUUUUGUAUAAUUACGCAUAUUUGUCGCCACGUGACUGCCUUUGGAAGCGUCCCUCAAUGUCGUGCAGUUGGUUCUGGAGGAGACGCGGGGCCUUGGCCAUGCCAUCCAUUCCUCUUCAUGGAGGCCGUCUUCGUCAAUUUUUGCAGAUUGUUUUAUCGUAAUUUUACUGAUCAGCAGACGCCUGUCAGGAGCAUGGCUGGGGCUCCUGGAGCGUAUGGCUUCUGUGAUCAGGAGCAUGACCGCCAGCCUUCUCAGACUACCUAGUGCACCAAUGGAUCACCAUAUCGACAGUGCCCGUCUCGAUGGCAAGCUGUAUUGACUGGUAUGCACGACACGUUGCCUGAAUAAUGCAAAAGAGGUAAUGGCUUGAGGCGCAUGUGGACCUGGGAUUAAGGCGAACCUGACCAAUUUGCUGACCAACGGGCCGGAGCUCGACGCCAACGAGGCAUCGGAUGCAAUAAUGGCGCACCAGCUUCACGAGAAUGGGCUGAAGGACCUUGCGACCGUGAAGGCAGUGACUGACGUAAGGUCGCAUUGGAUGCGGUUGAGUAGCAAGAGCGUGAAACCCUGCUGGAUAAAAUAUAAUUAAGCUCCUUCAGCAAAUGCUGAGCACAAGUUUUGUUGGGGGUCGGGACCUAUAUACUAUAUACUGGCUUACGCAAGGUGUAGCUGCGCUUGUCGAUGUGGCACACCGGAAUGCACACCGGAAUGCACACCGGAAUGCACACGUACUCAACACACCCACGAGGCACCACCAAGUCUUCGAGGUUUAUGCAUCCUUUUCAUUGUAGCCGUGCUAGACACAUGCCCAUACUAUGGAUUAGGGUGCCACAGGAGAAAGCAGGGGCUGCCUUAGUAAAGGGGUCCGCUGGGUCCGCUGGGGUCCGCUGGGGUCCGCUGGGGUCCGCUGGGGUCCGCUGGCGAAGUUAACCACCCUGUAACAACAUACAUACACCCAUACACGCAUUUCAUGUCCACAUCCAAGAGCAUACCACAUGAACAACCUCAUGCUUUGCUUGUCUCGGGAGCUUUUUACCUCACCCCAACCAAAACCCAAUACGCCUAGUUUUCUGAGCGAUGUUGGUGCCUUUGUUCUCUCCAUGUUGGUGCCUUUGUUCUCUCCAUGAUGCGGUGCAGGGACUGUGCUUGUGGAUGCAAAACCGGCGAUUUCAUCAUUGUGGGGGCUGGCACCUGACCUGACAGCAGUGAAGGCCCUUCAGCUCACCAAGGGAGCUUGUGCCCCUGCUGUGCAGCGGGAUGAGGACUCCUAUGAGGACUCCAGCUAGGGGGGCAAGAAAGUGCAUCACUGGCACACUAUGGCAGUUGCAUGUAUUCAUUAGAAGUUAAACAUGUGAGUGAUGCAUGCCCAAUAUCAUUUUGGACCUUGUGUUCGAGCUGUUCACCCCAGGGGUCCCAGGGUUCAUGUAUAUGUUCAUGGACCAUGCAAACACACGUGUCCAUGCAAUUUCCUUUCGUGAAGAGUGCGUGGACGGGCUGGCAGAGAUCAAUGAUAUGGAAGGGGAACAUGUUUCUUAAACCAGUGGACAGAUUGAGGAACAGCCACAGCCUACAAGGGGCUGUUUUUUGCAAGAUGUGUGCAUAAGUAUCAGGCAGGAAAUGUGAAGCAAGCCGUGGUACUAUUGAAGUCAGGUUACAGCUGUAUUCGUGAUGUGCUAGAUUGGCCAGUGUGUUUUCUGCAGGAGCGCAUCUCGUUUGUCAGGCUGUUACCCACAGGUGCCUCUGCAGAGCUUCAAUCGGGCACUCGUGUACAGAAUCCACAUGGAAGUGUAGUUUUAUAUAUGGGGCCUGCCACUGAGGAGUUCGCAUAUAUUUUUUAGCCGUGUUGGGAGUGUGCCAGGGAUGAAUGCAUAGAUAGGCACACACAAUGCCCCCUCCUUGUGCACCACGGUGAUGGGUGAUGAAGAGGCUGCCCAGAAUGAUGGGCUGUGAAAAGGCAUUAGGUCCCCCGGUUGCAUGUAUUUGUUUGCAAAUCGCCAUGAUGGAAGGUACUGUCUGGGAAUGAGAAGCAAUGUGUGUGUACAGUACAGUUGGAAUUGAACGUUUAUGGCUAGGAUCCAGGGAGGUUGUACCUGAGAGUUUUGAGGCUGCUUAAGAAUAAAGCUCGCAGGGUGGAUGGACAGAAAACACACUUAGGGUAGAUAGUUUCCUAGCCUACGUGGGCCCAUGUGUGCCUUAGUGCGCCCAAUCCUCGUUUACAUGUAAUUUCCUUUUCCUAGGUGUUACUUGCUUGUCUUGCUAUUUCCUAUGGUUUACCCAUGUAUCCAUCGAAAGCAACUUCCAUCCUGCCACUCUCUCCGUCAAGCUCAAACGGACGGGCGGGGACCAUUUCAUUUAUGCAGAUGCAGUUCACAUUAUAAGAAACAGGAUCUAGUCACAUAACUAAGUAUGACAUGGCAUAACAACUUUCUAACCCAGACUAAACGGUAGAGCUGGAGGGGCUGGGAUUUGCUCGUUCUACACAAACAGCAGUACCCUAAUCGCCAAGCAUUGCAGUGCCUUAAUCUUAUUACAGCACCAGUGUACUAAUCCUGAUCCUGGAUAUGGGGUAUUUGUCCAUAUCCUAGGGGCGGAGUUCUAAUCCUAAUCCUGUGGGUGAGGUCCCAAUCCUAAUCCUACACUAGGGUCCUCAUCCUAAACCUGUCCUCAACUUUGUAUCCUAAUCCUGCCCCUCUUUCCGAAUCCUAAUUUCUGCCUGACGCAAGGUGGCUCUACGCCAAGAAUUCAGCCGCUUCAAGAUGGUCAACGGCGAGCCACUUUCGAUGUAUUUCGCGUGUGCGAGGCAGCUGCAAACGGACUUGUUGGGUGUCAGCCACGUAAUCAACGACUCCGAGCUGGCGUAUACCGUCCUUGUUGGUCUACCCAAUCGGUACAGCGUGGUGACGACAACACUACUGAUGCGCGACGGCGAUUUGGACAUGGCGAACGUCACAUCGAAGACGGCAAACGGUGGGUCAGGCACAUCGACCGAGUCGGCAGCGUUUGCAUUUGUCGGCGGUUCGACGUCCGGCGCUUCUAAUUCUGGUUAUGGUAGCCGGGGGCCGGCUAACAACAGCUCGGGACACAGGCGAAAGCAGAUCGUUUGCUACUACUGUAAUAAGCCUGGGCACGUGGAAAAGGACUGCAGGCAGCUUAAAGCGCUCAAGCAGUCGUCAAUUUCUGGAUAUAAGGAUGGCAACAACAGUGGCAGCGGAGCUAGCAGCAGCAAGCCAGGAUCCGGUGGAUCAGCUAGGGGGCCAGGUGUUCCGCGGCAGGUAGCGUUCGUAGCAUACAACAACGAGUACACUCUGAAGUCGGAUGGGGUGAAUGGCUUAGGGUGCCCCUCUAGCAGGGGAGAGCAGGGAAUUGCCUCGGGAAGGAGGCCACUGGUGAAGCUUAACCUCCCUGUAACUGUUGAGGAAACGGUCCUCUCCCAACUCGUGUGGUUGUCGACCAGGGGAUUUGACCCCGGGUCUGCGCCUGACUAAUGGGGAAGACUUACCACAGAACCUUAUGGGGCUACCGAUGCAUAUCCGGUAGCUAAGUGAUAGACAUUAGGGCACCGUCUGGACGGCGCAGUGAGAUCGCGGAAUGUACGUGCAGUUAGAUCGCGGAAUGUACGAGUUUUCCGCUAGCGCCGGUAUUUAGGGCGGUGACUGCGCCUAUUAGUUUAUCUCACAACGAUCGGUAUUCCUACCAGGAAUCUCCUCAAGUCCUGCCGAACGCUAACAAUACUCUUUACAUUACUUGUAACAAGUUUAUCGUGCUAAAUAUCUUCGCCACCGGCAAUCCUUCCGGAAUAACAAUCAGCGUUAGCCGUCACCGUCGCCAAUUCUUCAAUAGGUUAUGAGCCCCGUUUAGCGCCGACAGUUAUCGCCAAAUUGUUAUUUCUAUCCCUCAUCGAAAAUGGUUAAGGACAAGCUUGAUGAGUCGCUGGAUCUCAACAACUACUCUACCUGGCAAAUUCGGUUCAGCGCGUUGUGCAUGGAGCUUGGGCUUGAGCAAUCCCUGCUCGCCGAGCCGUGCAACGAGGAGCAAAUUCGACAGUCAAGGAAGGUCAUCAAUCUGCUCAUCAAGAACGUCAAGGAUCAUCAUUUGCCGAUGGUUACCGGUGCUGCCAACGCGAAGAAGGCCUGGGACGCCUUGGGAUCUAUGUUUGCUGCCAACAACAACGCCCGCAAGGUGUCUCUACGUCAAGAAUUCAGCCGUUUUAAGAUGGUCGACGGCGAACCUCUUCCGAUGUACUUUGCGCGUGCAAGGCAGCUGCAAACAGAUUUAUUGGGAGUCGGCCACGUAGUUAACGACUCCGAGCUGGCGUACACCGUGCUAGUUGGUCUANNNNNNNNNNNNNNNNNNNNNNNNNNNNNNNNNNNNNNNNNNNNNNNNNNGGUGACGACUACAUUACUUAUGCGCGACGGCGAUUUGGACAUGGCGAGCGUCACAGCAAAGCUUCUCUCUAUCGAGACGGCUAACGGUGGGUCGGGCAAGCCUACCGAGUCGGCAGCCUUCGCGUCUGUCGGCGGUUCGACGUUCGGUGCUUCUACUUCUGGUUAUGGUAGCCGGGGGCCGGCUAACAACAGCUCGGGACACAGUCGGAAGCAAGUCAUCUGCUACUACUGUAAUAAACCUGGGCACGUGGUUAAGGACUGCAGGCAGCUUAAAGCGCUGAAGCAGUCGUCAAAUUCUUGCUACAAGGGUGGCUACAGCAACAGUGGUAACGGAGGUAGUGGCAGCGGAGCUAGCGGCAGCAAGCCAGGAUCCGGUGGAUCAGCUAGGGGGCCAGGAGUUCCGCGGCAGGUAGCAUUCGUGGCAUACAACAGCAAUCGUCCGACGGAAUGGUUUCUGGACUCAGCCGCCACUCACCACAUAACGUAUGACCGCUCAGAACUUUUCAACGUGCGGUUGUUGGAGCCGUGGGAGCGCUUCAACAUCAUGGGCAUCAAGGGACAAUCUCUUCGACCGACUGAAGUUGGCACGCUUACGAUUCGGUCUAACGUCAACGAUAAACAGGCCAUCACUUUCAAGAAGGUCUACGUCGACGAGGAGGCCACCGCCAAAAUCAUAUCGGUCCGCAUCAUUGAUGAUCGUGGAGGCAGUGUGGUCUUCGGCGGCGGACAGGCGAAAGUAUACGUACAGAACCAGUUGGUGCUGACUGGAAAGCGGGAUGGGGACUUGUAUCCCGUCUGCUACAGCAGUGGAGGUACGGGAGCUCUGAAGAGGAUGCAGUGUGAAGACAACAGGAUACCUUCUGGUGGUGAUGCAGUGUGUGCUGCCGUGGGUAUCGGAGCUGAACGUGCAGCACUUUGGCACCGAAGGUAUGGCCACUUGGGAUACAGCAACCUUGAGACGUUGCUGCGUCAUAAUAUGGUAGCUGGAUUUGAUGUUGACCGACACAGCAUACAAUCAGCCAGCACGUGUGUGUGUGAGACUUGCGUCCUUGCUAAACAUACACGUGGUCCUUUUCCGUUAUCUGGGCAUAAGGCAGCGCAACCUCUCGCGCUCAUUCACAUGGUCUGGUCUGGGUUGACACUACUGCAAUUAGCGGUUUAAGGUCCUGGGUUCGAUUCCUGGGGAGACCCCCGAAUUAGUCGGGAGCGCGAGAUUAUGGCUAGCUGCUGAGAUGUGGAGUUGAGGUCACAGUUGAUGGACCAGAUUCGCACGUUAGAUUGGUGGCGAUUGCCGAACCCUCCGUCUCUUCGGGUAUUCGGGUGAAUGGAUGAGGAGGGGUCCCUGAAGGCUGGAUCCGCCGCCUUGGACUUACAGUUCGUAUGGCGAAGUACAGUGUGGUAGUGGUGGAUGGUGCUUUAAGGUGAUAAAUGAUCUAGAACUGACAAUGUGAUAAAGCGGCCCAGAAGCCUCCCACUCUGUAACAUUACAUAAAAAAAAGAAGAUGGUGGUAAUGAUAGCGGAACUGGAGCGCGCUACUGGCAGGCAGGUUAAGGAGGUGCGUACAGAUCGUGGCGGGGAGUUCGUUAAUACUCGCACGAAGGCCUAUUUCGCUUCCAGGGGUAUUCUACACGGAACUACGGUAGGCUACACCCCUGAGCAGAACGGAGCUGCAGAACGUUUAAAUCGCACUCUUUUGGACAAGACUAGGGCUAUGCUAGUUGAGUCUGGACUGCCUAAAUCAUUAUGGGCGGAGGCGUUAGCGACAGCCAACUAUCUUAGGAAUGUGUCGCCAACUGCUGGGUCAACCGUCACUCCGUACGAAGCUUUCUUUAACGUUCGUCCGAACGUCAGUCACCUGCGAGUCUUUGGAUGCGUUGCCUACGUCCACGUACCCGACGUCAAGCGCGACAAGUUCGACCCGGUGAGCAGGCGUGGAGUACUUGUCGGAUACGGGAACGGUGGACAGUAUCGUGUACUAUACGAGGACGGCAUUAUUGCCGUAGUUUCCAACGUUCGUUUUGAUGAAUCUAACGUCGGCCGGCGGCGUAAUGCCGGGGACUCCGAUUAUGAGUCCGAUGCCGACGAGGAGGAGGAUUUUCGCACUAGUUUGCCUGGUGAGGGAUCGCUGCCUAGGGCUGGCGAAGGGAUACCAGGUAGCACCGUCGGCGAGGGAUCGCCGCACUUGGGUGGCGAGGGGGCGCCGGCUGGGGCUGGACCUUCCAGCAGUGCGAAUGGGCAAGGAAUCAAUCAGCCUGAUGUGGAAAUGGCGGGAACUAGGUACCCAGUUAGAGAGCGUAAACGCCCUGGCGAAUGGUGGCGAAAUGAACCUGGUCGCACUGUUACUGGUCGCGUUAACGCUGCUUUUUCUACUGAUAUUCCCGAACCGAAUUCUUUUGCGGAAGCCAUUGCGAGUCCACAUGCAGACGACUGGCGGCGUGCUAUGGACGAGGAGAUCGCCGCCCAGAUGGCUAAUAGUACUUGGGAGCUGAAGAAGCCACCGCCUGGUACUCGUUUGUUGCCGUGUCGUUGGGUAUAUAAGGUUAAGUACAGCGAUGACGGCAGCGUGGAACGCUUUAAGGCGCGUUUAGUUGCCAAGGGUUUUGAGCAACGCGAGGGGAUUGAUUAUGGGGAGUUGUUUGCCCCUACCUCUCGUGGUUCGUCAUUACGAGCUUUAUUAGCAGUUGCCGCAGCGUGGGACAUGACGGUGCAUCAGCUAGAUGUGUCUACUGCGUUUCUGAAUGGUGAGCUGAAGGAGGAGUUGUGGAUGGAGCAACCGCCUGGGUAUGCAUCCAGUGACCGGUCGCUUGCGUGCAAGCUGCAGAAGUCUAUUUACGGUUUGAAGCAGGCACCCCGUUGCUGGUAUGAAAAGCUAUCAGCAGAGUUCGCCAAGCUGGGUCUUUAUCCUUCGAAGUCUGAUCCGGCUAUGUUCGUUAAGACUGACGAGCGUGGGGUUGUUAUUGCUUUGGUGCACGUAGAUGACACUAUUGUUGCGUCGGAAGACCCGGAAAUGGUCCGGGCAAUUAAAGCCGCAAUUGCGAAGGUCUUCAAGGUGCGCGACCUUGGAGAAGCAAAGGUGUUUUGGGGCAUGGAAAUUAGGAGGGAGAAGUCGGGUGAGAUAGUGUUGUCGCAGCAUAGGUAUAUUGCGCAGCUGUUGGAGCGUCAUAGGAUGAUUGACGCCAAGCCGAGGUCUACCCCUUUGCCUCCGGGCUUUAGGUACACUCCUAAGGGGGACGGAGAGGAGCUGCUGGGCAAUCCCACCGAGUAUAGGGCUUUGGUGGGAGAAUUGAACUAUCUGGCGACGAACACGCGGCCUGACAUUUCAUAUGCAUUGAGCGUUUUGUCCCGGCAUAUGGCCGCACCUACGAAGACUGCCAUGAACUUGGCAACCGGCGUUCUGCGUUACCUGGCGGGUACACGCGAACUAGGAUUGCGUUUUGGGGGUGUUGGCGACGUUGCUAUGUCCGGGUACAGUGAUUCGGACUGGGCAGGAGACCCAGUUACGCGACGUUCUACGUCCGGUUACGUAUUCACUCUUAAUGGGGCUGCGAUUAGCUGGAGCAGCCAACUUCAACGUACUGUGGCGGCUUCGUCGGUGGAGGCUGAGUACCAAGCUACAGCAGCGGCUGUUCGUGAGGCUUUGUGGCUUCGCAAGCUGAUGGUUGAUUUGGGCUUGCCUGGGAGCGCGGUGAAAAUCCAGAUAGACUCCCAGGGGGCGCUUAGCUUGGGAAACAACCCGAUUACGUCUGCUCGGUCGAAGCACAUCGACGUGCAGCAUCACAUAGUGCGUGAGAGGGUGAAUAACGGUGAGGUGCAGUUGGAAUACUGCCCUACGGAGUGGAUGGUUGCGGAUGUGCUAACGAAGGCUCUGGGCGAGGUGAAGUUCAAACGUUGCCGAGAUGCUAUGGGCCUUGUGUGAAGUGUGCAGAUGAACUUGGUACUCGUUGGGAUACGGCCCGAGGGGGCGUGUUGAGGAAACGGUCCUCUCCCAACUCGUGUGGUUGUCGACCAGGGGAUUUGACCCCGGGUCUGCGCCUGACUAAUGGGGAAGACUUACCCCAGAACCUUAUGGGGCUACCGAUGCAUAUCCGGUAGCUAAGUGAUAGACAUUAGGGCACCGUCUGGACGGCGCAGUGAGAUCGCGGAAUGUACGUGCAGUUAGAUCGCGGAAUGUACGAGUUUUCCGCUAACGCCGGUAUUUAGGGCGGUGACUGCGCCUAUUAGUUUAUCUCACAACGAUCGGUAUUCCUACCAGGAAUCUCCUCAAGUCCUGCCGAACGCUAACAAUACUCUUUACAUUACUUGUAACAGUUUAUCGUGUUUCAUAUCUUCGCCGCCGGCAAUUCUUCUGAGAUAACAAUCAGCGUUAGCCGUCACCGUCGCCAAUUCUUCAAUAGUUACAACAUCAACAACGAGCGUCCGACGGAAUGGUUUCUGGACUCGGCACCUACUCACCAUGUGUAAUGUAAUGUUACAGAGUGGGAGGCUUCUGGGCCGCUUUAUCACAUUGUCAGUUCUACGAUCAUUUAUCACCUUAUAGCACCAUCCACCACUACCACACUGUCUUCGCCAUACGAACUGUAAGUCCAAGGCGGCGGAUCCAGCCUUCAGGGACCCCUCCUCAUCCAUUCACCCGAACACCCGGAGAGACGGAGGGUUCGGCAAUCGCCACCAAUCCAGCGUGCGAAUCUGGUCCAUCAACUUUGACCCACUGUGACUCCACAUCUCAGCAGCUAACCAUAAUCUCGCGCUCCCGACUAAUUCGGGGGUCUCCCCAGGAAUCGAACCCAGGACCUUAAACCGCUAAUUGCAGUAGUGUCAACCCAGACCAGACUCACCAUGUAACUUAUGACCGAUCCGAACUACUCAAUGUGCGUGUGUUGGAGCCUUGGGAACGCUUCAGCAUUGUGGGCAUUAAGGGCGUCCGACGGAGGUUGGAUCACUUACCAUUCGAUAUAAUGAAGCUUUCUUCAACGUCCGUCCUAACGUCAGUUUCUGGGUGCGUCGCCUACGUCCAUGUACCUGACGUCAAACGCGACAAGUUCGAUCCGGUGAGCAGGCGUGGAAUACUUGUCGGAUACGGGAACGGAGGACAGUACCGUGUGCUGUACGAGGACGGCAUUAUUGAUUUAGUUUCUAAUGUUCGCUUUGAUGAGUCUAACGUCGGCCGGCGGUGUUAUGGCGGGGAUUCUGAUUCUGAUCCUGAGUCCGAUGCCGACGAGGAGGAGGAUUUUCGCACUAGCUUGCCUGGUGAGGGAUCGCUGCCUAGGGCUGGCGAAGGGAUACCAGGUAGCACCGUCGGCGAGGGAUCGCCGCAUUUGGGUGGCGAGGGGGCGCCGGCUGGGGCUGGACCUUCCAGCAGUGCCGAUCGUGGCGGGGAGUUCAUUAAUACUAGCACGAAGGGCUAUUUCGCGUCCAGGGGUAUUGUACACGGAACUACGGUAGGCUACACCCCUGAGCAGAACGGAGCUGCGGAAUGUUUGAAUCGAACGUAACAAUCAGCCUGAUGUGGAAAUGGCAGGGACCCGGUACCCAGUUAGAGAGCGUAAACGCCCUGGCGAGUGGUGGCGAAACGAGCCUGGUCUACCCAAUCGGUACAGCGUGGUGACGACAACACUACUGAUGCGUGAUGGGUGAUUUGGACAUGGCGAACGUCACAUCGAAGCUUUUAGCUAUCGAGACGGCAAACGGUGGGUCAGGCAAAUCUACCGAGUCGGCAGUGUUUGCAUCUGUCGGCGGUUGGACGUUCAGUGCUUCUAAUUCUGGUUAUGGUAGCCGGGGGCCGGCUAACAACAGCUAACAACAGCUUCUGCUCCCGUCGCGUCACGGCGCGUCCGGGUUCAAAUCCGCCUGCCGACCUCUCGGGGUGUUUGAGAGGUGAUGAAAUGGGAGGUGGCCCCCCAUCUUGUGGACGGUGUAGGACGUGAUAAAAUCAACUCGCGAGCUGACCAGGAACUAAGUCGACGCGCCGUUGAUCCGCUAGAUUUGGUUGGAUGCUGGUGGUGAGUUGCCAAACUCAAAGAGUACACUCUGAAGUCGGAUGGGGUGAAUGGCUUAGGGUGCCCCUCUAGCAGGGGAGAGCAGGGAAUUGCCUCGGGUAGGAGGCCACUGGUGAAGCUUAACCACCCUGUAACAACAUCAACAACAUCAACAGCUCGGGAUACAGUCGAAAGCAGAUCGUUUGCUACUACUGUAAUAAGCCUGGGCACAUGGUAAAGGACCGCAGGCAGCUUAAAGCGCUCAAGCAGUCGUCAAUUUCUGGAUAUAAGGGUGGCUACAACAACAGUGGCAGGCAGGCAGGCAGGCAGGCGGGCGGCAGGCGGCAGGCGGCAGGCAGGCAGGCGGCUGGCGGCUGGCAGGCAGGCAGGCGGCUGGCAGAAGUUAAGGCCUGGCUUCUGCUCCCGUCGCGUCCCGGCGCGUCCGGGUUCAAAUCCGCCUGCCGACCUCUCGGGGUGUUUGAGAGGUGAUGAAAUGGGAGGUGGCCCCCCAUCUUGUGGACGGUGUAGGACAUGAUAAAAUCAACUCGCGAGCUGACCAGGAACUAAGUUGACGCGCCGUUGAUCCGCUAGAUUUGGUUGGAUGCUGGUGGUGAGUUGCCAAACUCAAAGAGUACACUCUGAAGUCGGAUGGGGUGAAUGGCUUAGGGUGCCCCUCUAGCAGGGGAGAGCAGGGAAUUGCCUCGGGAAGGAGGCCACUGGUGAAGCUUAACCACCCUGUAACAACAUCAACAGUGGCCGCGGAGCUAGCGGCAGCAAGCCAGGAUCCGGUGGAUCAGCUAGGGGGCCAGGUGUUCCGCGGCAGGUAGUGUUCGUAGCAUACAACAACGAGCGUCAGACGGAAUGGUUUCUGGACUCCACAUCUACUCACCACGUAACUUACGACCGAUCCGAACUAUUGGAACCUUGGGAACACUUCAGCAUUGUGGGCAUUAAGGGUCAGUCACUGCGUCCGACGGAGGUUGGAUCACUUACCAUUCGAUCUUAUGUCAACGACAAUCAAGCCAUCACAUUCAAAAUGGUCUACGUUGAUGAGGAGGCGAUGGUAAAGAUUUUGUCCGUCCGUAUCAUCGACAAUCACGGAGGUAGCGUCGUCUUCGGUGACGGUUAAGUAAAGGUAUACUUGCAGAAUCAUUUAGUGUGGACCGGUGAACGGGACGGUGAUCUCUAACUCAUUUGCUAUCGAAGUGGAAGUACAGGCACCAUCAGGAGGACGCAGAAUACGAGCUACUGUGACAACGGACAUGGUACAACGUGCACCGCCAUGGAUUCCAAGACGGAGCGUGCAACACUUUGGCAUUGGUGUUACGGACAUCUGGGCUACAGCAACCUCGAGGCGUUGCUGCGCCACAAUUUGGUAAUGGGAUUUGACGUCGACCAGCACAGCUUUCAGAAAGCCAGCAUGUGUGUUUGUGAGACCUGCGUUUUUGCAAAGCAGACACGAGGUCCUUUUCCGUAAACAGGGCACAAGGCAGCUCCGCCACUAGCACUAGUUCACAUGGAUGUGUGUGGACCUAUGCCUGAACCUUCGCCUAGUGGUUCGCGUUACGUGACAACUCUGCUUGAUGAUCAUACCGGUCUUUCAGCUGUUGCGUUUACAGCGACCAAGGAGGAGGUCUAUCAGAAGAUGGUGGUAAUGAUAGCGGAACUGGAGCGCGCUUCUGGCAGGCAGGUUAAGGAGGUGCGUAUGGAUCGUGGCGAGGAGUUCAUUAAUACACUCUCCUGGACAAAACUAGGGCUAUACUUGUCGAGUCCGGUCUACCUAAGUCAUUAUGGGCGGAAGUGUUGGCAAUUACCUCAGCCAAUUACCUCAGGAAUGUGUCGCCAACUGCUGGGUCAACUGUCACGCCGUAUGUAGCUUUCUUCAACGUCCGUCCUAACGUCAGUCACCUUCGAGUUUUUGGUUGCAUCGCCUACGUCCACGUACCUGACGUCAAACGCGACAAUUUAGAUCCGGUGAGCAGGCGUAGAAUACUUGUCGGUUACGGGAACGGAGGACAGUACCAUGUGCUGUACGAGGACGGCAAUAUUGCCGUAGUUUCACGCACCUUGAAGACCUUCGCAAUUGCGGCUUUAAUUGCCCUGACCAUUUCCGGGUCUUCUGAUGCAACAAUGGUGUCAUCUACGUGCACCAAAGCAAUAACAACCCCACGCUUGUCCGUCUUAACGAACAUCGCCGGAUCAGACUUCGAAGGAUAAAGCUUGGCGAAAUCUGCUAAUACCUCGGGUCCAGGGAUUGUGGACAUCUGUACGAUACUUCCAUUGGUACUGGUAUGUAUGUAUGUUGUUACAGGGUGGUUAACUUCGCCAGCGGCCCCCUUUCCCGGGGCAGUCCCUGCUCUCCCCUGCUAAACCCUAAUCCGUCACCCCAUCCGACUUCAGAAUGUAUUCGUUGGGUUCGGCAACUCACCACCAGCAUCCAACCAACAAAUCUAGCGGAUCAACGGCGCAUCAACUUAGUUCCUCGCAAGUUGAUAUUAUCACGUCCUACAUCGUCCAUAUGAUGGGGGGCCACCUCCCAUUUCAACACUUGUUGAGGUAACGGUCCUCUCCCAACUCGUGUGGUUGUCGACCAGGGGAUUUGACCCCGGGUCUGCGCCUGACUAAUGGGGAAGACUUACCCCAGAACCUUAUGGGGCUACCGAUGCAUAUCCGGUAGCUAAGUGAUAGACAUUAGGGCACCGUCUGGACGGCGCAGUGAGAUCGCGGAAUGUACGUGCAGUUAGAUCGCGGAAUGUACGAGUUUCCGCUAGCGCCGGUAUUUAGGGCGGUGACUGCGCCUAUUAGUUUAUCUCACAACGAUCGGUAUUCCUACCAGGAAUCUCCUCAAGUCCUGCCGAACGCUAACAAUACUCUUUACAUUUCUUGUAACUGUUUAUCGUGUUUCAUAUCUUCGCCACCGGCAAUCCUUCCGAAAUAACAAUCAGCGUUAGCCGUCACCGUCGCCAAUUCUCAAUAGGUUAUGAGCCCCGUUUAGCGCCGACAGUUAUCGCCCAAUUGUUAUUUCUAUCCCUCAUCGAAAAUGGUUAAGGACAAGCUUGAUGAGUCGCUGGAUCUCAAUAACUACUCUACCUGGCAAAUUCGGUUCAGCGCGAUGUGCAUGGAGCUUGGGCUUGAGCAAUCCCUGCUCGCCGAGCCGUGCAACGAGGAGCAAAUUCGACAGUCACGGAAGGUCAUCAAUCUGCUCAUCAAGAACGUCAAGGAUCAUCAUUUACCGAUGGUUACCGGUGCUGCCAACGCGAAGAAGGCCUGGGACGCCUUGGGAUCUAUGUUUGCUGCCAACAACAACGCCCGCAAGGUGUCUCUACGUCAAGAAUUCAGCCGUUUUAAGAUGGUCGACGGCGAACCUCUUCCGAUGUACUUUGCGCGUGCAAGGCAGCUGCAAACAGAUUUAUUGGGAGUCGGCCACGUAGUUAACGACUCCGAGCUGGCGUACACCGUGCUAGUUGGUCUACCCAGUCGGUACAGCGUGGUGACGACUACAUUACUUAUGCGCGACGGCGAUUUGGACAUGGCGAGCGUCACAGCAAAGCUUCUCUCUAUCGAGACGGCUAACGGUGGGUCGGGCAAGCCUACCGAGUCGGCAGCCUUCGCGUCUGUCGGCGGUUCGACGUUCGGCGCUUCUACUUCUGGUUAUGGUAGCCGGGGGCCGGCUAACAACAGCUCGGGACAUAGUCGGAAGCAAGUCAUCUGCUACUACUGUAAUAAACCUGGGCACGUGGUUAAGGACUGCAGGCAGCUUAAGGCGCUGAAACAGUCGUCAAAUUCUGGCUACAAGGGUGGCUACAGCAACAGUGGUAACGGAGGUAGUGGCAGCGGAGCUAGCGGCAGCAAGCCAGGAUCCGGUGGAUCAGCUAGGAGGCCAGGAGUUCCGCGGCAGGUAGCAUUCGUGGCAUACAACAGCAAUCGUCCGACGGAAUGGUUUCUGGACUCAGCCGCCACUCACCACAUAACGUAUGACCGCUCAGAACUUUCCAACGUGCGGUUAUUGGAGCCAUGGGAGCGCUUCAACAUCAUGGGCAUCAAGGGACAGUCUCUUCGGCCGACUGAAGUUGGCACGCUUACGAUUCGGUCUAACGUCAACGAUAAACAAGCCAUCACUUUCAAGAAGGUCUACGUCGACGAGGAGGCCACCACCAAAAUCAUAUCGGUACGCAUCAUUGAUGAUCGUGGAGGCAGUGUGGUCUUCGGCGGCGGACAGGCGAAAGCAUACGUACAGAACCAGUUGGUGCUGACUGGAAAGCGGGAUGGGGACUUGUAUCCCGUCUGCUACAGCAGUGGAGGUACGGGAGCUCUGAAGAGGACGCAGCGUGAAGACAACAGGAUACCUUCUGGUGGUGAUGCAGUGUGUGCUGCCGUGGGUAUCGGAGCUGAACGUGCAGCACUUUGGCACCGAAGGUAUGGCCACUUGGGAUACAGCAACCUUGAGACGUUGCUGCGUCAUAAUAUGGUAGCUGGAUUUGAUGUUGACCGACACAGCAUACAAUCAGCCAGCACGUGUGUGUGUGAGACUUGCGUCCUUGCUAAACAUACACGUGGUCCUUUUCCGUUAUCUGGGCAUAAGGCAGCGCAGCCUCUCGCGCUCAUUCACAUGGAUGUGUGUGGACCUAUGCCUGAACCUUCGCCUAGUGGUUCGCGUUACGUGACAACCCUGCUUGACGACCAUACUGGUCUUUCAGCUGUUGCGUUUACAGCGACCAAGGAGGAGGUCUACCAGAAGAUGGUGGUAAUGAUAGCGGAACUGGAGCGCGCUACUGGCAGGCAGGUUAAGGAGGUGCGUACAGAUCGUGGCGGGGAGUUCGUUAAUACUCGCACAAAGGCCUAUUUCGCUUCCAGGGGUAUUCUACACGGAACUACGGUAGGCUACACCCCUGAGCAGAACGGAGCUGCAGAACGUUUAAAUCGCACUCUUUUGGACAAGGAUAGGGCUAUGCUAGUUGAGUCUGGACUGCCUAAAUCAUUAUGGGCGGAGGCGUUAGCGACAGCCAACUAUCUUAGGAAUGUGUCGCCAACUGCUGGGUCAACCGUCACUCCGUACGAAGCUUUCUUUAAUGUUCGUCCGAACGUCAGUCACCUGCGAGUCUUUGGAUGCGUUGCCUACGUCCACGUACCCGACGUCAAGCGCGACAAGUUCGACCCGGUGAGCAGGCGUGGAAUACUUGUCGGAUACGGGAACGGUGGACAGUAUCGUGUACUAUACGAGGACGGCAUUAUUGCCGUAGUUUCUAACGUUCGUUUUGACGAGUCUAAUGUCGGCCGGCGGCGUAAUGCCGGGGACUCCGACUAUGAGUCCGAUGCCGACGAGGAGGAGGAGUUUCGCACUAGUUUAUCUGGUGAGGGAUCGCUGCCUAGGGCUGGCGAAGGGACACCAGGUAGCACCGUCGGCGAGGGAUCGCCGCAUUUGGGUGGCGAGGGGGCGCCGGCUGGGGCUGGACCUUCCAGCAGUGCGAACGGGCAAGGAAUCAAUCAGCCUGAUGUGGAAAUGGCGGGAACUAGGUACCCAGUUAGAGAGCGUAAACGCCCUGGCGAAUGGUGGCGAAACGAACCUGGUCGCACUGUCACUGGUCGCGUUAACGCUGCUUUCUCUGCUGGUAUUCCUGAGCCUAAUUCGUUUGAGGAAGCAAUUGCAAGUCCACAUGCAGACGACUGGUGGCGUGCAAUGGACGAGGAGAUCGCCGCCCAGAUGGCUAAUAGUACUUGGGAGCUGAAGAAGCCACCUCCUGGUACUCGUUUGUUGCCGUGUCGUUGGGUAUAUAAGGUUAAGUACAGCGAUGAUGGCAGCGUGGAGCGUUUUAAGGCGCGUUUAGUUGCCAAGGGUUUCGAGCAACGUGAAGGGAUUGAUUAUGGGGAGUUGUUUGCCCCUACCUCUCGUGGUUCGUCAUUGCGUGCUUUAUUAGCAGUUGCCGCAGCCCGGAACAUGACGGUACAUCAACUCGAUGUGUCUACUGCGUUUCUGAAUGGUGAGCUGAAGGAGGAGUUGUGGAUGGAGCAACCGCCUGGAUAUGCAUCCAGUGACCGGUCGCUUGCGUGCAAGCUGCAGAAGUCUAUUUACGGUUUAAAGCAGGCACCCCGUUUCUGGUAUGAAAAAACUAUCAGCAGAGUUCGCCAAGUUGGGUCUUUAUCCUUCGAAGUCUGAUCCGGCUAUGUUCGUUAAGACUGACGAGCGUGGGGUUGUUAUUGCUUUGGUGCACGUAGAUGACACCAUUGUUGCGUCGGAAGACCCGGAAAUGGUCCGGGCAAUUAAAGCCGCAAUUGCGAAGGUCUUCAAGGUGCGCGACCUUGGAGAAGCGAAGGUGUUUUUGGGCAUGGAAAUUAGGAGGGAGAAGUCGGGUGAAAUAGUGUUGUCGCAACAUAGGUAUAUUUCGCAGCUAAUGGAGCGUCAUAAGUUGGUCUGGUCUGGGUUGACACUACUGCAAUUAGCGGUUUAAGGUCCUGGGUUCGAUUCCUGGGGAGACCCCCGAACUAGUCGGGAGCGCGAGAUUAUGGCUAGCUGCUGAGAUGUGGAGUUGAGGUCACAGUUGAUGGACCAGAUUCGCACGCUGGAUUGGUGGCGAUUGCCGAACCCUCCGUCUCUUCGGGUGUUCGGGUGAAUGGAUGAGGAGGGGUCCCUGAAGGCUGGAUCCGCCGCCUUGGACUUACAGUUCGUAUGGCGAAGACAGUGUGGUAGUGGUGGAUGGUGCUAUAAGGUGAUAAAUGAUCGUAGAACUGACAAUGUGAUAAAGCGGCCCAGAAGCCUCCCACUCUGUAACACAUUACAUUACAUUACAUAAGUUGGUUGACGCCAAGCCGAGGUCUACUCCUUUGCCUCCGGGUUUUAGGUACACAUCUACGGGGGACGGAGAGGAGCUGCUGGGCAAUCCCACGGAGUAUAGGGCUUUGGUGGGAGAAUUGAACUAUCUUGCGACGAACAUGCGGCCUGACAUUUCUUAUGCAUUGAGUGUUUUGUCCCGGCAUAUGGCCACACCUACGAAGACUGCCAUGAACUUGGCCACUGGCGUUCUGCGUUACCUGGCGGGUACUCGCGAACUAGGAUUGCGUUUUGGGGGUGUUGGUGACGUUGCUAUGUCCGGGUAUAGCGAUUCUGACUGGGCAGGAGACCCAGUUACGCGGCGUUCUACGUCCGGUUACGUAUUCACUCUUAAUGGGGCUGCGAUUAGCUGGAGCAGCCAACUUCAACGUACUGUGGCAGCUUCGUCGGUGGAGGCUGAGUACCAAGCUACAGCGGCGGCUGUUCGUGAGGCUUUGUGGCUUCACAAGCUGAUGGUUGAUUUGAGCUUGCCUGAGAGCGUGGUGAAAAUCCAGAUAGACUCCCAGGGGCGCUUAGCUUGGGAAACAACCCGAUUACGUCUGCUCGGUCGAAGCACAUCGACGUGCAGCAUCACAUAGUGCGUGAGAGGGUGAAUAGCGGUGAGGUGCAGUUGGAAUACUGCCCUACGGAGUGGAUGGUUGCGGAUGUACUAACGAAGGCUCUGGGCGAGGUGAAGUUCAAACGUUGCCGAGAUGCUAUGGGCCUUGUGUGAAGUGUGCAGAUGAACUUGGUACUCGUUGGGAUACGGCCCGAGGGGGCGUGUUGAGGAAACGGUCCUCUCCCAACUCGUGUGGUUGUCGACCAGGGGAUUUGACCCCGGGUCUGCGCCUGACUAAUGGGGAAGACUUACCCCAGAACUUUAUGGGGCUACCGAUGCAUAUCCGGUAGCUAAGUGAUAGACAUUAGGGCACCGUCUGGACGGCGCAGUGAGAUCGCGGAAUGUACGUGCAGUUAGAUCGCGGAAUGUACGAGUUUUCCGCUAACGCCGGUAUUUAGGGCGGUGACUGCGCCUAUUAGUUUAUCUCACAACGAUCAGUAUUCCUACCAGGAAUCUCCUCAAGUCCUGCCGAACGCUAACAAUACUCUUUACAUUUCUUGUAACAGUUUAUCGUGCUAAAUAUCUUCGCCACCGGCAAUCCUUCCGAAAUAACAAUUAGCGUUAGCCGUCACCGUCGCCAAUUCUAAAUAACACUCCUCAAAUAUCCGAGGAGCCGGCAGGCGGUUUUGAACCCGGGUCGACCGGGAGUAGAAGCCAGGCCUUAACCUCUGCCAGCCGCCUGCCCAUAAAGGUAUAUAAGACACGAGUUGUGCUAGUCUUAGUAUCUCAUCUUUGUAUGGAUCGGUAUUCCUUAGUAGGAAUCUCCUAAAGGCUUCUUGCCGUUUAUCACUCACCUACCGAUUGUAAGACUUAUAUCGCAACCAGUCUCCUUGCCUCCUUCAUAUUCUUAACAGGGCCCGGUGGGUCUAGCAAGGGAUCAGUUUUCUCGAGGCAUGUUGUGUUUGUAGCUUACAACAGUAAGCGUCUGAGGGAUCCUGGUCGGAUACAUGAGUGGAGGACAGUAUCGUGUGAUGUACAAGGACGGCAUCAUCGCCGUGGUCUCCAAUGUCCGCUUUGACGGAUUUAGUGUCGGCCGGCGGCAUAAUGCCAGGGAUUCUGACGAUUGGUCCGAUGCCAACGAAGAUUUCGCCCUAGUUUGCCUGGUGAGGGGUCGCUGCCUAGGGCUGGCGAAUGGACAUCAGGCAAUACCUCAGCGAGGGAUCGCCGCCUUUGUGUGGCCAGGGGGCGCUGGCUGGGACUGGACCUCCCAGAAGUGUGAAUGUGCAAGGAAAUACACAACCUGAUGUAGAAAUAAUGGGGGCUUUUCAGUUAGGGAAUGUAAACGGUCCUGGCGAGUGGUGACGGAGUGUACCUGGUCGUAAUGCUACAGGCCGAGUCAUUGCUGCAGUAUCUGCUGGAAUUCAUAACUUUUAUGCCGAAGCCAUCCCAGGUCUACAUGCAGACGACUGGCGGCAGUGAGUGCCGCGAAACAUUUGUAUCCAGUCGACCCAACUGGACAGCGUGGAUUGCAGCAGGCGAUCAUUUGAUGCAACUACAAGCAGACGGGCCGUAUAGCUCGGAGUUGCAGAGAGAGCCGCAGCCUAACGUGCAAGGAAGGAGUGGAGGUGGUCUUGGCGACCACACGUGGCAGGUGGGGUAGCAUGCCUCAACAGACAGGCGGUGGCGGCAGUUCAGUGAUGCCGUGUAUUUUUUUGCUGCAAGAUACGUUAGUAUCACUAUCAAUUGUCUGACUCCGAAGCGGCUAGUAUUGGUGUACCUGAGUCAGGGCCUUUGCCAGCGGCAAGCCAGCGCAGGAGUUCAGAAGAAUAGGGCAGGGAAUAUGAGGAGAUUUUAUAGCCCCCGGAGUGGUGGCAUGGUGUUGCAGGAAGGAGCAUAGGAGGUCGCAUUAACGUGGCUGUCACUUAUCCGUUCCCUCCUGAACUUUUGCUGAGUAAUACUUUCACUGAAGCCAUUUCAGGUGCAAAUGCAAGUGAGUGGCGCAGAGUGAUGGUCGAGGAGAUUGCUACAUUAGCAGCUAACGGCACUUGUGAGCUGUGUGCUAAUGUACCGGUGGUUGUACAAGUUGAAAAGAGUGGAAGGUGACACGGUCAAGCGGUUUUUUGCAUGGCUAGGUGCAAAGAUGUACGAGAAGUACGAGAACUUGGAGACGUGCAGGUGUUUUUGGGCAUGGAAAUAAUGAGGAUGAAGCCGGGCAAAUUGGUGUUGUCGCAAUGUAGGUAUAUUGAGAAGCUAUUGGAGCGUCAUCAGAUGGUGGAUGCCAAGCCGAGGUCUACCCCUUUGCCUCCGGGUUUUAGGUGCACACCUACGGGGGAUACAGAUGAGCUGCUGGGUAAUCUCACGGAGUAUAGGGCUUUGGUGGGAGAGUUCAACUACCUAGCGACGAACACACGGCCUGACAUUUCUUAUGCAUUGAGUGUUUUGUCCCGGCAGAUGGCCACACCUACGAAGACUGCCAUGAAUUUGGCCACUGGCGUUCCGCAUUACCUGGCGGGUACUCGCGUACUAGGAUUGCGUUUUGGGGGUGUUGGCGGUGUUGCAAUGUCCGGGUACAGCGAUUCGGACUGGGCAGGAGACCCAGUUACGCGGUGUUCUACGUCCGGUUACGUGUUCACUCUUAAUGGGGCUGCGAUUAGCUGGAGCAGCCAACUUCAACGUACUGUGGCGGCUUCGUCAGUGGAGGCCGAGUACCAAGCUACAGCGGCGGCUGUUCGUGAAGCUUUGUGGCUUCGCAAGCUGAUGGUGAAAAUCCAGAUAGACUCCCAGGGGGCGCUUAGCUUGGGAAAUAAUCCGAUUACGUCUGCUCAUUCGAAACACAUCGACGUGCAGCACCACAUAGGGCGUGAAAGAGUGAAAAGCGGUGAGGUGCAGUUGGAGUACUGCCCUACAGAGUGGAUGGUAGCGGAUGCGCUCACGAAGACACUGGGAGAAGUGAAGUUCAAACGGUGCAGAGAAGCUAUGGGUGUUGUGUGAAGUGCCCAUUGGCGGAGCAAAUGUGCUACUGCGAGUUGGGAUAUGUCCCGAGGGGGCGUGUUGAAGGGCGGUCCUAUCCCAACAUAGAUAGGUGGUAGUUAGGCGAUGAAUCCGCCGUGAUAGGCGUUGCCUCGGCCGUGCCUCGACCUUGCCUCGGCCGUGCCUCAACCUUCCCUCGGGUCUCUCGGCCGCGUAUCUCGGACGUGUCCUCAGGUCCAGGGAUGGUGGACGACUGAACGAUACUUCCAUUGGUACUGGUAUAUAAGACACGAGAUGUGCAUGUCUUAGUAUCUCAUCUUCGGAUGGAUCGGUAUUCCUUAGCAGGAAUCUCCUAAAGUCUUCUUGCCGUUCACCACUAACCCACGUACAGUAACCCUUAUAUCGCGACCAGUCUCCUUGCCUUCAUAUUCUUAACAGGGGGCAACACCCAGUGCUUACGUUCAAGGUAAAAUAUCAGGGUAAGACCCAACAAGCUGCCCUGACGUUGAACGUUGACAUAACCCAUCAGCACCCCUCGACCAUGUUCAACAUGCUCCCCAGGUUCCAAAAGGGUUACAAGGCAGCCCUGGUUGCAAGCAGUCCGGAAACGAGCAAACACUCCUCACCUGAAUCGCAUCGUUCUCUCCAGACACCCCUGCCUCCUCGGCUCCACCGCCUGUGUUGCUCUCCUAGCGCCCUGUCCCGCGCCCAGUUCUCCCGCCGCUGCUGCGUCCACGCCCUCGACCACCGCGCGUGCCAGCGGCGGUUCCGGAUCGCCCACGGCCGCGCGUGCCGCCAGCAGCACCUGUGACCUCGACUGGGGCCUGGGCCGUUGCCAUGCCCGCAUCCCCACCGGUCCCUACGGUGGCAGGGCUGCGCCGGUCCCGCCACCCCUGGGAUGCAUGGCCUGGGCAGUUUCAGCUGCUAGGUUUGCUACCUGGGCAACGCAGGCGAGCGAGCAAGCUAUGAAUUUACAAGUACUCCCCCACCCUUCGUGUGUCGAUUGCUCAGUGAUCCGCGAGGCCCCAAUCUUCUGUGAUGGUUCCGGCUGCUGAUGACACUGCACUCUGCCUGAAAUUGACCAAAUCAGGGCAGUGCUGUCCUCCUCAUAGGAUAGCACGCCACAGGGCAGGCUCCCCCUGAACCGCUUGACUGCAGCGUUGACGUCCUCAUGCGUGGAGAACUUCCUCAGAAAGCUUGUUCUCAAUGCUGUCCCGGUAACGUCAAAGAAUGGAGGCGCUACCUGGACCUCACGGCCGUCUGUGUAGGGCAUUGUUAACGAGACAACAUCGCCUGCUGACCUGACGCCUGCAGCACCGGCCAUGGAGCUCAACCUUCCCCUUGAAGUAAUAAGUUGCAUUCUGCUUCCUGAAAAUGCUCGCUGAUAUCAUGUUACCUCCCAGCUCAAAACUAAGCGGUAUCACGUUUUGGCUCUGCUGUUCAUAGGAUUCCCCUAAAGCACACCGGAGUUCAAUACUUCUGGGAAAGUCUUGUUCCAUUUUCCAGCUUAUGGAACUAUAAGGUUGCACUUGUUCAGGUACAGACGGCGCGGAAGCUAUUGGUCCGUCCUGUAUCGUGAGUCGUGGCUAGUGUAAACUGUAUCGGGUAUAGCAAUGGAAUACAAGAACGUAGAGAGUGAGGCAGGUCGUGAUAAGACUUGGCUGAUGACAUGCAAGUAUACAAGUACGGCGCCCAUACUAGAGUACCGCCAGCUCGCCAUCAGUACUAUCCGUACUAUCCCAACUCCUGUGGUUGUUGACCAGGGUAUUUGACCCCGGGUCUGUGUUGAGGAAACGGUCCUCUCCCAACUCGUGUGGUUGUCGACCGUAUUUGUUUAUCUCACUACGAUCGGUAUUCCUACCAGGAAUCUCCUCAAGUCCUGCCGAACGCUAACAAUACUCUUUACAUUACUUGUAACAGUUUAUCGUGUUUCAUAUCUUCGCCGCCGGCAAUUCUUCUGAGAUAACAAUCAGCGUUAGCCGUCACCGUCGCCAAUUCUUCAAUAGGUUAUGAGCCCCGCUUAGCGCCGACAGCUAUCGCCCAAUUGUUAUUUCUAUCCCUCAUCGACAAUGGUUAAGGACAAGCUUGAUGAGUCGCUGGACCUCAACAACUACUCUACCUGGCAAAUUAGGUUUAGCGCGAUGUGCAUGGAGCUUGGGCUUGAGCAAUCCCUGCUCGCCGAGCCGUGCAACGAGGAGCAGAUUCGACAGUCACGGUCAUCAAUCUGCUCAUCAAGAACGUCAAGGAUCAUCAUUUGCCGAUGGUUACCGGUGCUGCCAACGCGAAGAAGGCCUGGGACGCCUUGGGAUCUAUGUUUGCUGCCAACAACAACGCCCGCAAGGUGUCUCUACGUCAAGAAUUCAGCCGUUUUAAGAUGGUCGACGGCGAACCUCUCCCGAUGUACUUUGCGCGUGCAAGGCAGCUGCAAACAGAUUUAUUGGGAGUCGGCCACGUAGUUAACGACUCCGAGCUGGCGUACACCGUGCUAGUUGGUCUACCCAGUCGGUACAGCGUGGUGACGACUACGUUACUUAUGCGCGACGGCGAUUUGGACAUGGCGAGCGUCACAGCAAAGCUUCUCUCUAUCGAGACGGCUAACGGUGGGUCGGGCAAGCCUACCGAGUCGGCAGCCUUCGCGUCUGUCGGCGGUUCGACGUUCGGCGCUUCUACUUCUGGUUAUGGUAGCCGGGGGCCGGCUAACAACAGCUCGGGACAUAGUCGGAAGCAAGUCAUCUGCUACUACUGUAAUAAACCUGGGCACGUGGUUAAGGACUGCAGGCAGCUUAAGGCGCUGAAGCAGUCGUCAAAUUCUGGCUAUAAGGGUGGGUACAACAACAGUGGCAACGGAGGUAGUGGCAGCGGAGCUAGCGGCAGCAAGCCAGGAUCCGGUGGAUCAGCUAGGGGGCCAGGAGUUCCGCGGCGUUCGUAGCAUAUAACAGCGAGCGUCCGACGGAAUGGUUUCUGGACUCAGCCGCCACUCACCACAUAACGUAUGACCGCUCAGAACUUUUCAACGUGCGGUUGUUGGAGCCAUGGGAGCGCUUCAACAUCAUGGGCAUCAAGGGACAAUCUCUUCGACCGACUGAAGUUGGCACGCUUACGAUUCGGUCUAACGUCAACGAUAAACAGGCCAUCACUUUCAAGAAGGUCUACGUCGACGAGGAGGCCACCGCCAAAAUCAUAUCGGUCCGCAUCAUUGAUGAUCGUGGAGGCAGUGUGGUCUUCGGCGGCGGACAGGCGAAAGUAUACGUACAGAACCAGUUGGUGCUGACUGGAAAGCGGGAUGGGGACUUGUAUCCCGUCUGCUACAGCAGUGGAGGUACGGGAGCUCUGAAGAGGACGCAGCGUGAAGACAACAGGAUACCUUCUGGUGGUGAUGCAGUGUGUGCUGCCGUGGGUAUCGGAGCUGAACGUGCAGCACUUUGGCACCGAAGGUAUGGCCACUUGGGAUACAGCAACCUUGAGACGUUGCUGCGUCAUAAUAUGGUAGCUGGAUUUGAUGUUGACCGACACAGCAUACAAUCAGCCAGCACGUGUGUGUGUGAGACUUGCGUCCUUGCUAAACAUACACGUGGUCCUUUUCCGUUUUCAUGAGUAGUUGCCUUACCGCUUAUAGACGUGAGUAGAGCUUGGGUACCUGCGAGCAGAAGAGUGCACUUGCUUCCGUGGGAGGAGGCGAGCCUGGUUACCGACUGCGUUAUCUGCCUCGGGGCGGUGUAAUUGGCAGACGACGCAGUGGAAACCUGUCAGUACUGACUAAAUUAACUCGCGAAAUUGCUCUUUCCGUCGCGCUCUCCGCGACUUGCCCUACUUUCUCACCAGUACGGCCCCGCCGUACCACCAACGAACUGCCGAGUACGCUCUCGGCAAAUACACAGAAAACCUUGGUUUUCUUUCGUUACUCUCAGAAAACCUACAGUUAUCUAGGCAUAAGGCAGCGCAGCCUCUCGCGCUCAUUCACAUGAAUGGUCUGGUCUGAGUUGACACUACUGCAAUUAGCGGUUUAAGGUCCUGGGUUCGAUUCCUGGGGAGACCCCUGAAUUAGUCGGGAGCGCGAGAUUAUGGCUAGCUGCUGAGAUGUGGAGUUGAGGUCACAGUUGAUGGACCAGAUUCGCACGUUAGAUUGGUGGCGAUUGCCGAACCCUCCGUCUCUUCGGGUGUUCGGGUGAAUGGAAGAGGAGGGGUCCCUGAAGGCUGGAUCCGCCGCCUUGGACUUACAGUUCGUAUGGCGAAGCACAGUGUGGUAGUGGUGGAUGGUGCUAUAAGGUGAUAAAUGAUCUAGAACUGACAAUGUGAUAAAGCGGCCCAGAAGCCUCCCACUCUGUAA